rnacentral:rRNA from 1 species
AUUGAACGCUGGCGGCAUGCCUUACACAUGCAAGUCGAACGGCAGCAUGAUCUAGCUUGCUAGAUUGAUGGCGAGUGGCGAACGGGUGAGUAAUACAUCGGAACGUGCCCUGUAGUGGGGGAUAACUAGUCGAAAGAUUAGCUAAUACCGCAUACGACCUGAGGGUGAAAGUGGGGGACCGCAAGGCCUCAUGCUAUAGGAGCGGCCGAUGUCUGAUUAGCUAGUUGGUGGGGUAAAGGCCCACCAAGGCGACGAUCAGUAGCUGGUCUGAGAGGACGAUCAGCCACACUGGGACUGAGACACGGCCCAGACUCCUACGGGAGGCAGCAGUGGGGAAUUUUGGACAAUGGGGGCAACCCUGAUCCAGCAAUGCCGCGUGUGUGAAGAAGGCCUUCGGGUUGUAAAGCACUUUUGUCCGGAAAGAAAUCGCACUUACUAAUAUUAGGUGUGGAUGACGGUACCGGAAGAAUAAGGACCGGCUAACUACGUGCCAGCCGCCGCCGUAACAC